rnacentral:misc_RNA from 1 species
UCUCCGUUGGUGAACCAGCGGAAGGAUCAUUAUUGUAUAACCGAGGUGCGAGGGCUGUCGCUGACCCGAAAGGUCGUGCACGCCCGAGUGCCCUCACACACAUCCAUCUCACCCCUAUGUGCACCACCGCGUGGGUCCCCCUUUGGCUUGUUCGGAGGGGGGCUUACGUUUUCACACAAACUUUGUAUGUAGUGUAGAAUGUAUUUUUUGUUUUUGCGAUCACGCAAUCAAUACAACUUUCAACAACGGAUCUCUUGGCUCUC